rnacentral:rRNA from 1 species
GGCGAACGCUGGCGGCGUGCCUAAUACAUGCAAGUAGGACGCACAGUCUAUACCGUAGCUUGCUACACCAUAGGCUGUGAGUUGCGAACGGGUGAGUAACGCGUAGGUAACCUGCCUAUUAGAGGGGGAUAACUAUUGGAAACGAUAGCUAAUACCGCAUAACAGUAUGUAACACAUGUUAGAUGCUUGAAAGAUGCAAUUGCAUCGCUAGUAGAUGGACCUGCGUUGUAUUAGCUAGUAGGUAGGGUAAUGGCCUACCUAGGCGACGAUACAUAGCCGACCUGAGAGGGUGAUCGGCCACACUGGGACUGAGACACGGCCCAGACUCCUACGGGAGGCAGCAGUAGGGAAUCUUCGGCAAUGGGGGGAACCCUGACCGAGCAACGCCGCGUGAGUGAAGAAGGUUUUCGGAUCGUAAAGCUCUGUUGUUAAGGAAGAACGAGUGUGAGAAUGGAAAGUUCAUACUGUGACGGUACUUAACCAGAAAGGGACGGCUAACUACGUG